CGAUUGUUCAGUGCAGCAGGCUUUUAGAUUUAUUGUAUCGAUAGUAUUGGGGAUGAUUACUAUUAUUUCCAUAGUAAACAAGUAAAUGGUUUACGGAUGUUAACUGACUGCUACUGUUAAUUGAUAGCAAACGACAGAUAACAGUUUACGCUAAAAGUAGGUACAUGACGUUACCUGCUUGACUUGAGACACCUGCGUGACCGUUAGAAAAAUACACGUUCCCAAUCUCGCUCGGUUUCGUCAAGUCGCGUGACCUGUAAAUCAAUUACGCGCAAGCAACACGUACACGCAAAAAUGAUAAGCAGACAGUCAGCUUUUGGGAAGAACAUUUGUUAGACCUGCUGUUACGAGAGACUACUGCAGUACAUUGUUUACCUCAUUCACAAGUGAUACCAACGAAGAUCUUAAUCAUAAAUCGAGUAACAGCAAGUGACAGUGAUGAGCCGACUCUGCAAAAACCUUGUGUGAUGCAAGUAAAUGAUUUACGAUAAUUGUGAAUAUAAUGGAUGGUCCAGAAAUUUCAGAAUCAGCAGGGAAUGGUCUAGCCUCACCAUCAAGAUCUUCCAUAGAAAACUGUAGAGAACAGGGGAAGGCAUUUAUUGUUCAUGUUUUGGUUAUUUAAUGCAAAGAAUACCAUUUGUUCCUGUUUUAAGAAUAAUCAAUAGAUUGGAAAAUCUAUUUUGAAAUAAUCAAGCUGUGCUGGCAUUUCUGUGAUGCUUCUAAAUUGAUUUAGAAUUAAAUGGAAUAAAAACUUUGAUUUAGAUUUUCUCCCUUAUUGCAUUUUUUCAUUUUUCUGUGUAACUUGGAUUCUGAUAAAGAUACCUAAAUGAUUUAAACUGAUUUGUAUUCAUGAUAGUUUGUAGUUUUCAGAAAUGUAUACUGUCUGUAAAGUAAAACGUUCCCACAAGGCUAUUACUUCCCGGUUAACACUAACAGUCAACA
ensembl:lncRNA